GAUAUUGAGUAUGCAUAUUCAGAUUUAAGUAUUGAAAACAUUUCCAUGCUUGAUGAAUCGAUCAAUUCUGUGUGGAAUGAACUCAGAGAGGACUCUUCAUUUAAUAGCAUGUUUGACAGUCUAAAUGUAACUGCUGAUGACACUACAGAUGACUGCAAUGACAUGUCUGACACUGAGUCAAACCAUUCUGGUAACAAUAGUCUAUUUCAAAUGUUAGUUGAUUAGGGUUAUUGUAUAUUAAGUGUACACUGUAUAUUGCAUUGGGGAUCUUUAACUUCAAUAUAUCCACACCAUCAGUGAUCCACACAUACAGAUGUGAAGUCCAUGUAAUAGUUAUAAAAUGAUUUUGGUUUACAAAAUCGUAUACAUUCAUACCUUCAAUUAUACCCUUUUCAAAAAUUAACACAUUGAACUAUAAUGUGCCCUAAUGUACUUUACUUUUGUGGUGUGUCUAAUCCCAGACAAUUUUACUUAUCAAGGAAGAAGUUGGGUGUUAAAGCACUUCAGCAUUACUUUUAUAAUUAAAAUUGUAUGGGAAUUUAUAGUCAGAUAAAAGUUUUAAAAUUGCAUUGCUUUUGGACAUGUGUCAUAAGAAUAACAUUUUCCAGGCAUGCAUAUGUAUAUACCUGUA